rnacentral:lncRNA from 1 species
UAGAAUAUUUAUUUUAGUUUCAGGUUCUCUUUCCCUUUCCAACAAUUGAAGAAUUCAAUCUUUGAAUUCAUCAUUAAUCGUGGCUACCUGGGGUUGUUUAGAAAUGAGAUACAUACAUCUUUCACCAUUGUUGCUUUGAACUCCAAUACCGGUCGCCAGAUUCCUUCCAUACCGAAGUUGAUCGACUUCUUGCGUGAGUUUAUCUACUCUCUCUGCUAGGGCUUGAAUUACUUGAGUCAACAAGCUCAAUUCUUCUUGACGUGCCUCUUUUGAAGCCAUCGUACCGGCUCUGAUACCACUUAAUUCACAAAGACUCUAAUAGAUGACAAGCGUUCAAGGGGAAAAAAAGAGCUGAGAAGGAAGGAAAGUCAUGAAACCAAAAAGGAAUCCAUCUCCCUAAUUAUAUUAACUCAAAUUUCUCCAAGAAAUAAUAACCUUCCCUUCAAUAGCAAGUAUUUAAGUAACUUAGAAACCCCAGAAAGCUCCUACAAAAUCCUGGCCACCGGUUAGUAACUGAAAAAUAAAUGACUAAACUUGCCCUUAGUAAAAUCGGAAAUAACAAUUGAAAUAAAGAAAAAUAAAAACCCAAAUAACUUCCCCUAAUUACAUUACUCCCCCCUCUUGCCCUCCAUGGUCCUGCAACCCGUCUUUUCCCAGCCAUGAACUAUUGGUUGUGGCUGGGACAUGGUUGCCUCAAGUUAUUUUGAGGCCUAAAGCAAAUGAAAGGUAUGAAUAGAGAGUGGCUUCAAUACCAGCGAGAGCUUUAAUGGGGAAGAUCAACUUCCUUUCUUUAUUGCCAUGAUUUUUUCUGGGGGGGUAGGAGAGAGAGAGAGAGAGAGAGAGAGAGAGAG